GCUUUCAACAUCCCCGUUUCGCGCGGGCCGCCUUCGGGACGGGCUGCGGCGAAACUGAAGGC
rnacentral:sRNA from 12 species